UACGGGGGGAGCAAGCGUUGUUCGGAUUUACUGGGCGUAAAGGGCGCGUAGGCGGCCAGCACAAGUCAGUUGUGAAAUCUCCGGGCUUAACUCGGAAAGGUCAACUGAUACUGUGCGGCUAGAGUGCAGAAGGGGCAACUGGAAUUCUCGGUGUAGCGGUGAAAUGCGCAGAUAUCAGGAGGAACACCAAUAGCGAAGGCAGCUCGCUGGGACGGUAACUGACGCUAAGGCGCGAAAGCGUGGGGAGCGAACGAGGA
rnacentral:rRNA from 1 species